UGGCAUUUUCAAGUAUUAACGAACACAAUUCAUCGAAUCUUCCAUGUAGAAUACUUUAAAUUCUGUUGCGGGCUGCAAACGACAAGUUGUUGAAAGACUACAAGGACAAUUUAGUUGCACCGCUAAAAAAAAGGCCUCAAGCGAAGAGCAUGGUCGACUGGCACCUCACCAAGCGUCCAAGAAAGACGCCAGUGAGGGAAUGGUACAGGUCCGUUCCGCGCCAAGUACAGAAUUAAUAAUAUGCCGUGGUAGAACAUUAAACAGGUGAAAUCGUAGAAAUUCUCUUCAAGCUUUAAAAAGCACUUUUUCAGUUGGAUAUACACGGUGUCAUUUGAUAGUAUGGUUUUGCACGGAUACAAUGAACACAGAAUAUAACUAGGAAUACGUUCUUUCGGCGGAAGGAAAUCAAUAAACUUUCUGAUGCAACUACUCUGUAACCACGACAAAAGGCUGCUUCACCUCCCUUUAACAUUACACAGUGUCAAUCAUUUAAGUCGAAUCCACAGAAACGGCCAUCCUACUCUAUAUUACGUAGUGAGAUAAGGAACACCCUCGUACUUAUAGAAUUACGGUGUCUUGUCUGUGCGUAAAAGGGUUUCCUCAACCUACCUAACAUUUCGUCGCUAAAAUAAACUCACACACUUGCUCUAUACGCUGAUCUCGUAGCUAAUUGCGGCGCUCGGUGAGGACGCGGUUGACACUUCGCGUUUCCUUCUAAAUCCAUAAGCGCAUCUCUUCCCCAGUCUCUUCCCUGUAGCGUGUGCCCUACGCCUCCGAGUUGAAGUGUCGCCGUGUGAAUAGAUGGUGGACAUUCCAGGACACGUGAUCUAAUCCGAUCCGGCGAUUUUAGCAGGGUGGAGGGUUUAGUUUUUGUGUACAUAAGGUUGUGUGCGCGGAUUUUUUGUCGAAGUACCGCCGCUCCGCCUCUUUUCGCAACAUUGACGCAAUGUAUAAAUACUGGAACAAAAGGACAACUUCCUUGAAGCUUGGUGAAACUGCAUUUUAAAACAAGCACUAGUCUUUAUUUCCGAACAGAUGGAAAUGUCGUAUUGGAAUAUAAAUUUUGCCAUUAAAAGCAACGCGUCGACUUGCACAUUUGGACGGAAAUCCAGCUUUCAGCGGCGCUCAAAUGUCGUCAAACCCUGGCCUCUGGUGUGCGUAUGUGUGUGACAGAGCGAGAGAGAGAGAGAGCAAGUGAGCGAGCACGCGCGUGCCUGUGGGGGGGGGAGCAAGAGAAAGACUAAGAGGAGACGACGAAAGGGAGAGCGGGAGAGAAGAGGGAAGUGCACGGGCCAGGCCUGGCGGUGCUGUAGCAGCACAGAAUGGUUUGUGGGUCAUACGGGGAUGCAGGCCAUGCUGUGCUGCAGCAACAACACCAGGCAGACAGGCCCUGGCAAGCAGGUUGCGGGAAAUAAGACUGCAAGCUGACAAGCAGCACAUAAGUGGACCAGGCCCAGGAGAGAGAGGCUGGGGAUGUCGUCGUCCCCGUCCCCGUCCCCCCGCCACCAGCACCCCACACACAUACACACUGGCCGCCUCGCUCUAGCAGCACGUAAAUAUUGGAGUUAAACCACUUCUGAUGCCUCCAGUAUUGAUCGUGCUGCUGAAGUGAAGCCGGCCGAUCCAUCAGCUGCUGUCUCAACGUUGUCACUGUCGUCUCCGCUGGGGGCUGCUGGGCUGAGAUCAGGAGUCUUACACGUUACGGGGAUCAGCAGAACGGGGGUGAGGUGAUGGCAAGAAAGUGCUGCUGUCGGUUUGCUUAAGGUAAAUACAUUUCUGUUGCUGUCAUUUGAUUGUAGUUUCUGCAUGGAGUAGUAAAAUUAACACUCGCUGAUAUUUGCUUUUCUCCACAAAAGUUUCACAAUUCAGUAAUUUAAGCUUGCUUUUAAACUGUUAAAUCUCUACUGGGCUAUAUAUGCUUUAUACUUGUUUAAUGUAACCUGUAAUUAAAUGUCCAUUAUUGUACUGAUCUGUGCUUUGUCAUAAUAAACAAUUUAUUCACAAA